rnacentral:misc_RNA from 1 species
AACACUGUUAACCUGCGGUACCUGCGGAAGGAUCAUUACCGAGUUAUACAACUCAUCAACCCCUGUGAACUUACCUACAACGUUGCUUCGGCGGGAACAGACGGCCCCGUAAAACGGGCCGCCCCCGCCAGAGGACCCCUAACUCUGUUUUUAUAAUGUUUUUCUGAGUAAACAAGCAAAUAAAUUAAAACUUUCAACAAUGGAUCU